rnacentral:lncRNA from 1 species
CUGGACUGGAGUGAAAGGUUGUAAAGUAGAAAUUUAGAACGUUAAUUGAUUGUUUUAAAUCUUUGUGUUAUUCUGAUAUAAGAUUGUACGGACUCAAAAAUGUCUUUGUUUUGCUGAAAAGAAAGGUCACCGUCACCAGCCAACAGAAGCUCAAUGGAUAUAGCAUAACGUUCUAAUUUAGAAAACAGUAUUUCUCUUGCUUCGUUGUGAAAAGCGCACUCUAAAAAAUAGUGUAUACUAUCCUCAACAGGGUGGCCACAGCUGCAUGCCGGAUUUGCUUUAAUAUUAACACGAUGUAAAUCUGAAUUUAAAGAACUGCACAUAUUUCUCAAACGUGUAUGAAUGAUAUUAAGUUUUCUAUCCCCACAACUAAAAUAGGAAGGUGGCUGUAUCAAUUUGGACUUCAUCUUUCGUUUAAAAAUAUUUAUAUUUUUGGACGUACGUAUGUCGGGGGUAAGUCUAUUCCAUUCAAUAGUAGUGGAUGGGAAAAAGGAUUUUCUAGUUAUGUCUAGUCUAUAACCGGGUACUACAUAAUUAUUACUGUUUCGCAAAUCGUAGUUAGAUACUUGACCAACAAGCGGGGGCAUUAAAUCACAGAGAUAAUCAGGGGCAGUCCCAUUAUGUAAAGAAUAGAACAUAUUGAGCUUUCUGGAUUUUCUUCUGUCCACAAGCAAUUGCCAGCC